AGUCGAGCGAAGUUUUUCUGGUGCUCGCACUAGAAAAACUUAGCGGCGAACGGGUGAGUAACACGUAAAGAACCUGCCUCAUAGACGGGGACAACUAUUGGAAACGAUAGCUAAUACCGGAUAACAGCAUAAAUCGCAUGAUAUAUGUUUAAAAGUUGGUUUCGGCUAACACUAUGAGAUGGCUUUGCGGUGCAUUAGCUAGUUGGUGGGGUAAAGGCCUACCAAGGCGACGAUGCAUAGCCGACCUGAGAGGGUGAUCGGCCACACUGGGACUGAGACACGGCCCAGACUCCUACGGGAGGCAGCAGUAGGGAAUCUUCCGCAAUGGGCGAAAGCCUGACGGAGCAACGCCGCGUGAGUGAAGAAGGAUUUCGGUUCGUAAAGCUCUGUUGUUAGGGAAGAAUGAUUGUAUAGUAACUAUAUACAGUAGAGACGGUACCUAACCAGAAAGCCACGGCUAACUACGUGCCAGCAGCC
rnacentral:rRNA from 1 species